ensembl:lncRNA
AUUCCAGUGCCUGACCACCCUUUCAGAGAAGGAGUAUUUCCUAGCGUCCAGCCUGAAUCUUCCCUGGUGCAGCUUGAAGCCAUGAGAAGCACCUGGGAAUGCUGUCACCUUGGGAGGUGGUAAGGGAAAACCCCAGACUCAUCCUGGAGGUACUAGGGAGGGCUCCUCUGAGAAGGCAAUGAGGCCAGUGGCUAAGCUGAAGUCCCUCUAUAUCAAUGCGUGCAGCAUGGGAAAUAAACAGGAGGAGCUAGAAACUGUGGUGCAAUUGGGAAAGUAUGACCUAAUUGCUAUCAUGGAAACAGGGUGGGAUGAAUCGCAUGAUUGGAAUACCCUGAUUGAGGACUACAGGCUUUUCAGAAGGGAUAGACAGGUUAGGAGGGUGGUGGAGUUGCCCUCUUAUGUUAGGAAGUGGACAGAUUGUGAAGAGCUGUGUCUGAGGAACAGCCAUGAUCAGGUUGAGAGCUUGUGGGUAAAAACUGCGGAUCAGUCCAGCAAAGGGCAUCUAGCGGCUGCGGUCUGUUACAGGCCACCUGAUCAGGAAGAGGCUGUGGACGAGACCUUCUUGCUUCAGCGGCAGGAGGUGUCAUGCUUGCGGGCUCUCCUCCUGAUGGAGGAUUUCAACCACCCGGAUAUCUGCUGGGAUAGUGCCAUGGUGGGUGGCAGACAAUCCAAGAGAUUCCUGGAGUCUGUUGAGGACAACUUUCUGGUCCAGGUAAUAGAUGGAGAGGUUUAGAUUGCGGGCAACCUGGGCUGCAGUGACCAUGCCUUGGUGGAGUUUGUGAUCUUGAAGAAUGCGGGCCUGGCAAAAAGCACAGUCACGACGCUGUGCUUUAGGAAAGGGAACUUCCGUCUGCUCAAGGAACUGCUGAGUGGGAUCCCCUGGGAAACUGUCCUUAAGGGCAUGGGCACAGACCAGAGAUGGCAGCUCUUUAAGGACACCCUUCCGAGAGCUCAAAGGCUCUCCAUCCCCCAGCAGAAGUCGUCGAGCAGGGGAGGCAGGCGACUGUCGUGGCUGUGCAAGGACCUGCAGCUUAAAUUGAGAGAAAAGAGGGAAAUGUACAGAAAGUGAAGCAGGGUUGUGUAUUCUGGGAGGAAUACAGGGCUGUUGUCCGUGUGUGUAGAGAUAGGAUUAGGAAAGCCAAGGCGCAGAUGGAGCUGAACUUGGUGCGGGAUGCGACAGACAACAAGAAGGGGUUCUACAGGUACAUAGGCAGGAGGAGACAGGCCAAGGAGAGUGUUCUCCCCCCGAUGAAAGGUAAUGGGGAGCUGGCUUCCUCAGACAUAGAAAAAGCUGAGGUACUUAAUGAGUGCUUUGCCUCAGUCUUCACGGGUGGUCAGGCUUCCCAUGUCUGCCAGGACCAUGAGCCUCUAGGUGAGGGUGUGGGGAGUGGUUUCUGUCCACCAAGCUGAGCGGUGCAGUCGAUACAUUGGAAGGAAGGGAAGCCAUCCCGAGGGACCUGGACAGGCUGGAGAAGUGGUCCCACGAAAACCUAAUGAGGUUCAAUAAGGCCAAGUGCAGGGUGCUGCACUUGGGUCGGGGCAAUCCCAGGUACUUCUAUAAACAGGGGGGAAGAUCUCCGUGAGAGCAGCCCUGUGGAGAAGGACCUGGGGGUCCUGGUGGAUGAGAAGCUGGACAUGAACCAGCAGUGUGCACCUGCAGCCUGGAAGGCCAACUGUGUGCUGGGCUGCAUUUAAAAAAAAAAAAAAAAAAAAAAAAAAAAGGCAGUGGCCAGCAGGGAGAGGUGAUUGUGCCCCUCUACUCAGCUCUUGAGAGGCCCCAUCUGAAGUACUGCAUCCAGACCUGGUGCUCCCAGUACAGGAAGGACAUGGAGCUCUUGGAGCGCAUCCAGAGGAGGGCCACUAAGAUGAUCAGAGGGCAGGAGCACCUCUCCUGUGAGGAAAGGUUGAGGGAACUGGGCUUGUUUAGCUUGGAGAAGAGAAGGCUCCAGGGGGACCUCAUUGUGGCCUUCCAGUACUUGAAGGAAGCGUAUAAACAGGAAGGGGAACGGCUGUUUGUGAGGGUGGAAAGUGGUAGGAUAAGGAGGAAUAGUCUUAAACUGAGACAGGGGUGGUUUAGGUUAGAUAUUAGGAGGAAGUUUUUCACCCAGAGGGUGGUGAUGCACUGGAACAGGUUGCCCAAGUAGGUUGUGAAUGCAUCCAGGGAUGGGGCAUCCAAGGCCAGGCUGGAAGUGGCUCUGGGCAGCCUGCUCUGGUGGUUGGCGACCCUGCACAUAGCAGGGGCAUUGAAACUCGAUGGUCAUUGCGGUCGUUUUCAACCUGGGCCAUUCUAUGAUUCUAUGGCCAUCUCGAACCAUCAGCGCCAAGAUGUGUGUGCCAGUACUGUCACUCUCCUUGCACACAACUGAUAGGUGAAAACUCUGAUGUGGUGAGACUGGAGUUAUCAAUUAUAAUCACUUCUUUGAAGGAGUCAGAUCUAAGACAACUGAGACUAGCUGAAGAUCUGUUUUGAUAAGACAGAAAUCAAGUUUCUGCAAGCCGUGUUUUUCUCUGUUCUGAGAUGCUGUACUGCUGUAAGAAGCAACAUUUGAACUGCUUCUGUUUUCUUGCUUUUGUA